GCUGGGGCAAUUAAUUUGUUGCCCUCUUUAUGCCUUCCAAUUGAUCAGUAUAAAUGUCUUCGAUUGAGUACUCGUUUCCUGCAACUCAGAUUAUCUUCACCGGCGGUCCUUUCCCGAACUCCAUGAUUCGAGAUCUCCCCUAUGUCCCUCGGUUAGAAGGGUUCGGUUGGUCCCAGAUUCACAAUCUGCAUGCUUAUUGUUUUCUUUAAAUUUGCAGAGCCAUCUGGGAUUUCUCCCUUUCUCUCUCACGAUCUGGGUGAAUCCUCCUAGGUGUGCUACCUCCUCCAACACCCCACCAGUCACGUUCUCUCAACUGCCGCAGUGGAACGCGAGCGCAAAUGCGGCACCCCUCCUGCAAUCUUCUCCAUUACCGAUUCUUAUAAGCCACUAAGCUGAUUAUAAUUGUUGACUUUGCAGGUUAUCAGGGUGGAGGCAGUUGAUGUUGCAAGGCAAGUUGCAUAAAAGAGGGCUACGGCUUAUAGAUCUUGUUUCCUCUGAAUUCAAGUAAUAUGGUACGAACUGUCCUUAUUUUGGAAAGUAUAACAAGGAAUUUUUAGAGUGUAGGAUGGACAGCUCAAAUGAAAACAUAGGAGAUACACUACAUAAAUGCUAAAAAAAUUACAAAUCAUGAACUGGUAAAAACAUUAUACCAACUGUAAAUAACUCUAGAAACACCAUGCAAUGAAAAGGAUGACUCCACCUUGCUAGGCUGUGCCGAGGACUUGCAAAGAAUGUGUAUGUUACUUCCCCACAGCUUCUUCAGUAUGCCAUUUUUCCUCGAAUGUGCAUAAAGAGGGCUUGCUGGUAGGCAACUGCACAAAUAAAUAUAUUGCUAUUGAGUAAUCAGUAUGGGAUUUUGCUUGUGGUAGCAUUUGCGUCAAAAUCUCCAAAUUGAGAUUCAUUACUUUUUAAGUUGUUUGUUUUUACAUGUUGGUAUGUUGUCCGGUGCAGCAGCAGUAGGUACUAUGAACAUGGCCAAAAUAUCUGAAAUGCAGGAAAGCUGAUUGUGGUUCUUGUGGUUUGCAAUAUGAUAGACUCGACAUGGGAAACAAAUCAUGCAUGUGAACGGUAUGCACUGAUUGAGAAAGAACAUGUAUGUCCUUUACGUUUGGAGAUCUGAAUACUGAUGCGAAAAUAUUCAAGGUUAGUUAUGCCUGAUCUGAUUAAUCAACCUACACUUUAUUUCAAUCUUGUUGUGUAUAACUGUCUGCUUCCAAUUGGAUAUGGUUCUUGAGGUAAAUAACUAAAUGAUAAGGGUAUUGGAAAUGAUCUGUGUAAAUAACUGUCCACUUCCAAUUAGAUGUGGUUGGCUAUAUCCUACUCUGUAGCUUGGCUAUUACUCAUUUCAAGUCUGUUGGCACGCUCACAUGUUUAUCUACAUCACUGUGGCAGAACAAGAAAAUCGAUUCCGGGUAUGAAUUCAGUACAACUGAUGUGAUGCUAAUUGCAUAAUAAAACUUCUGGUUGAGCAAUCUUUUUUCUCUCACCGUACUCUUGUUAGUGUUGCCUAGGUCAAUUUAUGUGGUUGUCAUCAUGACAUGGAAAGCAGAGGGACUAUGCUCCAGGAGACCAGGAGCCCCUCUAGCGCCUGCAACGUGGAGAUGGAUGUUACUAAUUACCAGACAGGAAGAUGGUUCCACUAUACAUUUGAAUGAUGAAGCUGGCACAGAACAGUGUGUUGGUAAGCUUCCAUGUUUCUGUGUUCAAUAGAAGAACAUUAU